rnacentral:rRNA from 1 species
AGAGUUUGAUCAUGGCUCAGGAUGAACGCUAGCUACAGGCUUAACACAUGCAAGUCGAGGGGAAACGACAUCGAAAGCUUGCUUUUGAUGGGCGUCGACCGGCGCACGGGUGAGCAACGCGUAUCCAACCUGCCCACCACUUGGGGAUAACCUUGCGAAAGUAAGACUAAUACCCAAUGAUAUCUCUAGAAGACAUCUGAAAGAGAUUAAAGAUUUAUCGGUGAUGGAUGGGGAUGCGUCUGAUUAGCUUGUUGGCGGGGUAACGGCCCACCAAGGCAACGAUCAGUAGGGGUUCUGAGAGGGAGGUCCCCCACAUUGGAACUGAGACACGGUCCAAACUCCAACGGGAGGCAGCA